UAAACCCUAUACUCUGUUUCAAGCCAUCAGAUAGCUGAACCACAGAUGCCUCCUCCCUAGCCCCCUAAGAAAUGACCUCUCUUUUCUAUCUAUAGCCAACUCCAUGCUUGGGGUCUGGAUAGUGUCAAUUCAAGAUGAACAUAAAAGUCCUCAGUCAUUAUCCGGGAGGUAAGAAAGCAAAGUGGACCCUCUCUGAUUGCCAAAGGACUCAAGAACUGGUGCUACACGAUUGUAAUGGAACACUGUUGUAUCAUAAGUAAUGAUGAAUACAAAAAAUCAGAGAAGCUUGGGAAGACAUCUAUGAACUGAUGCAAAGAACAGGCCCUGUUCCCUUGCAGUUGCAAGUACUAGUGCUCCUUUUUGCCCUGGAACUGUGACCAAGUCUCCUGCUCUUCUGCAGCUACAAAUGCUAGCUCUCCUCUUAACCCUGGAACCGUGACCAGUGUCCCUGCUUCCUAGUGACCAACCACCAGUGUUCCUCUCUACCCUGGACCCAUGACCCAGAACUGCCAAUCAGCAUCAGCUAUACCCAAUGUGCCAGCAAAAGGUCCCCUCUAAUCCCUUUCUGACCAGUUAUCCAACCCCCUUACUGUCUCUGGGCUCUCAGCUCCUGAGGCUGCUGUCUCCAAGGCCCACUGAUAGCACUCCUGCUGCCCUCCAGGCCUGUGCCCAUUCUGGUGUUACAGACCACUCCUGUAGACCUUCUAAGUUGUCUUAGGCUGGAAAAAAUGUCACCUUCUGGCAAAGAAUUGGAAAUUGAGAGGACGCCCAU